rnacentral:rRNA from 1 species
UCAAGUCAUCAUGGCCCUUAUGUCCUGGGCUACACACAUGCUACAAUGGCGUACACAGAGGGUUGCGAAGCCGUGAGGUGGAGCUAAUCCCAGCAAAGUACGUCUUAGUUCGGAUUGCAGGCUGCAACUCGCCUGCAUGAAGCUGGAAUCGCUAGUAAUCGCGGAUCAGCCACGCCGCGGUGAAUACGUUCCCGGGCCUU